rnacentral:misc_RNA from 1 species
UCCCAGUUGAUCUGGGCAGUCUGACUAGAGUUCCCGCCAUGACGCGCUGGCAACUAGUCACAAGGGUUGCGCUCGUUGCGGGACUUAACCCAACAUCUCACGACACGAGCUGACGACGGCCAUGCAGCACCUGUGCAAAUCCCCCGAAGGGUCACGCGCUUUCACGCGCUUAGAGAUGCAUGUCAAGCCCAGGUAAGGUUCUUCGCGUUGCAUCGAAUUAAGCCACAUACUCCACCGCUUGUGCGGGUCCCCGUCAAUUUCUUUGAGUUUUAGUCUUGCGACCGUACUUCCCAGGCGGCACGCUUAACGCGUUAGCUCCGGCACAAGGGGGGUCGAUUCCCCUCACACCAAGCGUGCACCGUUUACUGCCAGGACUA